rnacentral:rRNA from 1 species
AUUGAACGCUGGCGGCAGGCCUAACACAUGCCAGUCGAGCGGAUGAAGGGAGCUCGCUCCUGGAUUCAGCGGCGGACGGGUGAGUAAUGCCUAGGAAUCUGCCUGGUAGUGGGGGAUAACGUCCGGAAACGGGCGCUAAUACCGCAUACGUCCUGAGGGAGAAAGUGGGGGAUCUUCGGACCUCACGCUAUCAGAUGAGCCUAGGUCGGAUUAGCUAGUUGGUGGGGUAAAGGCCUACCAAGGCGACGAUCCGUAACUGGUCUGAGAGGAUGAUCAGUCACACUGGAACUGAGACACGGUCCAGACUCCUACGGGAGGCAGCAGUGGGGAAUAUUGGACAAUGGGCGAAAGCCUGAUCCAGCCAUGCCGCGUGUGUGAAGAAGGUCUUCGGAUUGUAAAGCACUUUAAGUUGGGAGGAAGGGCAGUAAGUUAAUACCUUGCUGUUUUGACGUUACCAACAGAAUAAGCACCGGCUAACUUCGUG